ACCCUACGGGGCGCAGCAGUGGGGAAUAUUGCACAAUGGGCGAAAGCCUGAUGCAGCAACGCCGCGUGAACGAAGAAGGCUCUUGGGUCGUAAAGUUCUGUUCUGAGGGAAGAAGAAAGUGACGGUACCUCAGGAGAAAGCCCCGGCUAACUACGUGCCAGCAGCCGCGGUAAUACGUAGGGGGCAAGCGUUGUCCGGAAUUAUUGGGCGUAAAGAGUACGUAGGCGGUCUGUUAAGUCAGCGGUAAAAGCCCGGGGCUCAACCCCGGCGAGCCGUUGAAACUGGCUGUCUUGAGAUGUCGAGAG
rnacentral:rRNA from 1 species